UCUGCAGACGGGCUAGAUUUUCGUCGGGCUGGAUACCACACAUCCGCGUGGUAGACUCGAAAGCAUUGACGAACAUCGGCCACUCUAAAGGAUCUCCGGAGAAUUUGGGUAGAUCUCUCGACACCACCUGUCUCGCUGCGAUUUGUUGUGCGCUGAUCACACCAGCAGCAGGAUAGGCCCAGGAAUUUGGGGCCUGCCGCGGUUGUGAAUUAUCCGUUGAUCCAACGCCGUGGAUUCCAUACGGAUUGGGAGCCGCUCCAACUCCUGUGCAAGCAGCCGGGAACUGCUUAUCUGGCAACUGUCCAAUAUCCCGGGUCCUCUGGUUUGACUCGUUCUGCUGAACGCACGUUCUGCCCGGAUUUUCCGUCGGGGGAACUGCUUCGUUGUGCAAAACUGUAGAAAAUCCCGGAGGGAUUGUAAAACGCGGAGCUCGGAAUGUGGGCAUCAGUGCUGCUGUUUGCCAUUCAGUUUGAUUUGAUUCGGGAAUCACGGAAAGCUGAUGAGCAAUCGGGUUAAAUAGUUUCGGAACCGCUCCAGUCGGUACGUUUCUCGAAAGUGGCGUGGAAGUAGCAGGUAUCACUUCCGGAUUCGCCUGCUGUCGUACAUCGCUGACCCAAUGGUUCACUGCCUUUAUCCGAUCCCGAGCACUAAAACUGGAAACGCUGCCACCGACUGCUUCCUCCUGCUCGAUCUCGAGCUCAAGUUGGUGCUUCUGAGAAAGAUAUUGGCGAUCUUUCUCCUGGAUCUUAUCUUCCAGAGCUUUCUGCUCCUCGAGCUGCUGAAGGCGCAAUCUUGCCGAACUGUUAGAUCGCACGGAUAUCACGGAUCUUAUCGAUUUCGUCGAUGCAGCAGGAUGUUCCAUUCCGCGCUUCUUCUCACAGGUACCACAGAUCCACGAUCGAUUGGCAACAGAUUCGGUAACGCCGAUGCAAUCGAAAUGCCACCAGUUAUCGCAGGCAUCGCAAGCAACCAUGCUACGAGCGCCAUCCGGACGGGAACAGGCGAGACAGUUGUGUUCCGCAGCAGUCGUCCUCGACUGAUUGAGGUUAGGAUCCCGCGAACUCAUUAUUUUUGAGCUUGUAGACUUUUUGUAGUCCGUAUUUGACGUGACUCAAAAAUAAGUCUUCUUCUUCGAUCAAAACGAGUUUGCCGAAGAUCCUACAAUCAGUUCCGGAUUCGGAUUCGAUCUGAUGGAGAAUAUAAAGCAAGAUAUUUCGCAAAUACAAUAUUUAUCCGGGAACGACAAUUCACGGCAGUGAAUUCGACGUUUAAUCAACCUACUGAUCGGAAUCUUGCUAGAAUAGCAUCAAACUCAGCUAAGAAAAUGCUGCACUUCGGCACGAGAGAAUACAAUUUCAAGCAGAACUAUAAUUUUCACCAACCAAUCUAUCAAACACGUUUUUCAAUUUUUUCCGACUUUCCUACUUUUUCUUUUCUCCUUUCUCUUCUCACCUGUCUAACUAUCAAACUGUCAAACUAAUCUGUCACAAAAUGGGUUUGAUGUUCCCCCUAAUUUCACCCUCUCAGGGCCGUAGCAACAAAUAUAUAAAUGAGUGUUUGAACUGCAUUUCUUAUAUUGCAAAACGAAUUUAAGUGAAAUUGUUUGUAUCUUCAAAUGAAAUUUUAAGGGUUAUGCAAAUGUAACUUGAAUAUUGUAAAGUGAAUCGAGAGUGCAACUUAAAAAACUAGUUGAAAAAAUACUACUAAUCUACCGUAUGAGUGCGUCGAGAAAUCUGAACGUUAAAAAAAACAAAAAGACUCGAAAAAAGGCAAUAAUGCUAUCGAGAAUGUCAACUAAAAUUCCAAAAUUUCUAAACGAAUCAUGAUGAGGAUAGAGGGAUAAAUACAACAAAUGAAAAAAAGAUUGAAUUCAUCUGAUGCCUUCCGAUUUUCCCGUUUUUUAGCCUGCUCAUAACAAGGAGUGGGGAUUCCACAAUGCCCGCGUCAACUGCGUGGCAUUUUCGCCGAACUGUUUGUUGGUAGCGAGCGGUUCUCUCGAUACGACCAUCAUCAUUUGGUACGUGAAUGCUCCGGCCAAGCACACGAUCAUCAAGAAUGCUCACCCACAGUCCCAGAUCACGGGUUUGGUUUGGCUCGAUAACGAAACGCUAAUCUCCACCGGACAAGACUGCAAUACCAAAAUCUGGAACAUCGACUCAUCUUCUAUUUAGGAAGGAGAAGAUAUCCAUUGCUUCCCCUCUUUUCUUUUUUUUUAUAAACAACAAAGUGGAAGAGUGAGGCGUGCCAAGAACAAAACAGGAAACAUUCAACAAGUCAUCGAUCCAUACUUAUGUUUUUGCAUCCUACAACAUCAAACUACCUACGUUUAAGUGUGUCGAAAUCUUUUGUAUUUUUGACCGAAGACAUUCACAACCUAAUGAAAGAAACUGUGAAUCCCAAGGAAAAAAAACCGUGCAUGCUGGAAGUGUAACUAACAUUUUCCUUUCGUUGUUGUUCAAGAAAAAGUUAUCAGCAGUUUUCGAAAUUGUGGCUAAGAGGUAUUUCCAAACAGUUUUAAAAAAAUAAUUAUAUAAACUUUUCCGUUGUUGUGUGAUCUCUAAUCUAUUUGAUAGCUGGCCAUCGUUUUUGUUGCCGAUUUCCGUUUUCUACUUUACUUUGCACUUUUGCAUUUAAGUUUGUUUUCUUUGAUCCCCCUCCCCAAAACUAACCAGAGAGGCAUUUCACAAAACUUUCGUUUGCUCGGAGUGUCAGUACGAUUUUUGGAUGGCUUUUAUGGACGCAUUUGACCGGGAAGGCAACCUUCCAAGUCCGGCGACAUUAUUGUAUUGAAACGAAAUUAUACAUAUUUAAAAGAUAAAUUAAUAAAAUGCAUCAAGCACUGAA